UGAAUGAGGCCCCCACACUGAAAAUUAAAAAGCUAAUAGCAAAUAGUAAUAGAAUCAAUACCAAAUACUGGUGAGCAUGUAACUAUUUCUGCUUUGCUUAUGACAGUAUAAAAUGAUACGGGCACUCUGAAAAAAUAGUUGAAUAGUUUCUUAAACUUUAUAAAAUAAUUUUAUUAAUAAAAUGACAGGGUUGAUGUUAUAGCUCAGAAGUAAAACACUCACCGGGCAUGCAUGAGGCACUGGGUUCAAUCCUCAGCACCCCAUAAAAAUAAAGGUAUCCACCUACAACUGAAAAAUAAAUGUUUAAAAAAAAAAUGACAGCUAAGUGUGAUGGUUCAUACCUGUAAUCUGAGUGACUGCAGCCUCAGCAACACAGUGAGGCCCAAAGCAACGUAGCAAAAUCUUGUCUCAAAAAGUAAAAAGUGCUAGGGAUAUAACUCAGUGGUAAAGCACCCCUAGGUAAAGCAGCACUGGUACCAAAAUAAAUAAAUAAAUUAUGGUAACCGGUAGCAGCAUACGCCUAUAAUCCCAGCUACUCCGACGCUGAAGCAGGAGGAUGGCAAGUUCAAGGCCAUCCUAAGCAACUUAGUGAAACCUUGUCUCAAAAUUUAAAAAGCCUGGGAAUGUAUUGCAGUGGAAGAGUGCUUGCCUAGCAUGUGUACAAAGUUCUGGGUUCGAUUCCCUCCCCCUCCCAAAAAAAGAGAAAGUAACAAAAUGAUAAGGAUCUUUGUAGUGACUGAAUAGUUCUUUAUCUUGAUUGUAAUCAUAGUUACAUAAAUUGACACUCUCAAUAAAAUAAGUAUCCAUCACAAAUUUACACUGAGG
rnacentral:lncRNA from 1 species